UACGGAGGGUGCAAGCGUUAAUCGGAAUUACUGGGCGUAAAGCGUGCGCAGGCGGUUUGUUAAGUCUGUUGUGAAAUCCCCGAGCUCAACUUGGGAAUUGCAAUGGAUACUGGCAAUCUUUGAGUCCGGGAGAGGUGAGUGGAACUCCGAGUGUAGAGGUGAAAUUCGUAGAUAUUCGGAAGAACACCAGUGGCGAAGGCGGCUCACUGGCCCGGUACUGACGCUUAAGAGCGAAAGCGUGGGGAGCAAACAGG
rnacentral:rRNA from 1 species